AGUGAGUGUGUGUGUUUGUGUGUGUGUGAGAGAGAGAGUGUAUGUGCAAUAAAGACUGAGAAUAUUAAAGAAAAGGAGAGUAAGAGAGGAUCAAAUUAAACAUUGCCUGAUAUUGAAUCAUGCAUGCACAUGGAUGCAUGACCAGACAAACACGCGUCCAACCAUCUGCCGGCUUAACGGCUCAAAUUCCGUAUGCUCUUUAGACAAGCAUCCAAAAGCACUUCCGGACGCCGGCGUUUUUAGAGGAGCGCCACCAGGUUUGGCUUUGAACUUCCUCUUUGGAACUUUGAAGGAAGCGGUGGACUGUGAUGUCAUAACUGACCUCGGAACAGCGGGUUCCGUUACUAUGGCUCCCAGUGGGGUUGCUACGGCGACCUCUCCUUCUCUCUCGUUUGGUGGACCGUUCGCCUGUUUGGCCAUUUCUUCUGUUUUGUUUUUUAUCUGUGCUCUGCAGCAUUUCAGUGGUCCUCUGAGCGUGACCAACGCGACACUUACAGUGAGCUAGUCAUGUUUCUGACCUGUGCUAAUUUGCCACAUUUCUAACCGCAUUAUCAUCCUCUGCUAUUUUUUUGUGGUAUAAUCAAGAACCGAAUCCUGGGCCGCUGUCGUCGUUUACUCUCCCUCAGGUUGUUCCACAGCUGUAUGAGUUUCUUUCUUCUGUUGAUCACAAAAGAUGUUGGUUAUUUAGUUGCCGGUAGCCAUUCACUUCCAUAGUGUGGGGAAAAAAAUACUGUGGAAGUCAAUGGAUACCGGCAACUAUUUGGUUCUCAACCGUUUUCAAAAUAUCUUCUUUUGUGUUCAACAGAAGAAAGAAACUCUGACAGGUUUCGUACAACAUCGGGGUGAAGAAAUGAACUAUACCUUUAAAUGUCUAUAUUAUCAAUUAGUUACUAUUUCUCUUAAUUAGUUUUGAUGCUUAUACAUCAUGUAUAUUAUAUGGAAGCUUGUUUUUGUAUCCAUGGGAUAAAAAAAUAAAACGGUAAGUGCAACUUUUUACC